rnacentral:lncRNA from 1 species
AGGGCGGCAAGCUUUUCUGGUUGAAUAUUGUUUCUGAUAGUAAGCCUUGGGUUAAGAUGAUGGAGGCCAGAUACUAAAAGAGUCUCUAAUCUUUUAACGUAUACUCCCAAGGUUAAUAUCUCCACAACCUGGCGGGCCAUCUUGAAAGCUUUUCAUUUCUUGAGAGAGUUUUUCUUGGCGGAUUGGUGAUGGCAGUAGUGUUUUCCCUUGGUCUGAUCAUUGGGCUGGGGGUUUUCCUAUUAGCCGUCUGGUACAUGAUAUUCAUCCACAAGAUUAAUCCAUGAAGGUGGCUGACCUUUUUUCACCUCAGCAAACUUGAGAUUUUUCAGUUCUUCAAACUCAGUACCCAGAGUAUUUUGAAGACAUAAUUACAGCAGUUCCUCUUCCUAGCUAGAUGGGCCAACAUUAAGGAUUGUUUGAAGUGGGAGGAGU